rnacentral:lncRNA from 1 species
GAGAGAUUGACAUUCAUCACAUACACACAAUGCAUCCCUUGCACACAGAAAAACACACAAUGCAUUACACACACAGACACACAUACACAAGCAAUGCAACCGUUACACACAAUGCAUCCCUUACACACACAGAAACACACAAUACAUUCAUUACACACACUCAAUGCACCCCUUACACACAUUCAAUGCAUCCCAUACAUACACAGAAACACACCUUGCAGCCCUUACACAUACAAACACAAUUUCACACAAUGCAUUCCUUACACACAUAUCAGGACAUCCCCUACACACUCCAUCCCCUGUGAACAAACUCAUUGGUGGAACAUGAAGGUGGACCCUGGGACCCAGACCUUGAGGACCCCCAAAAAAUGGAGCUGCUUCCUGUACUCCCAGAACAUUGAUUUUUGUGACCACAGUUACAAACCGCCUCCAGAGAGCCUGUUCUGCACCAGACCAGUGGAGCCAGACUGCAGCUAGAGCCCAU